CUGCUUGGCCGAUUUUGGCACUAGCACAUUUUUGCUUGUGUCUCUCCGCUCUGAGCAAUCAUGUGCAGUGCCAAUAUGGGAAAAGCGGG
ensembl:miRNA MIR96 microRNA 96